GGAAGAACAAACCCUAAUCAACACAAAUCAAUCAAAUUGAAAGGGGAUUUGGAGUCUAGGUGAAUGUAUGACUUAAGAAUGGUGAUCACCUAAGUGUUUCUUGUAUCAAGCACAAAGAAGGAAGAAGGCGCGAGUCACUCAAAGGCACAAUCAUCACAAGAUCGCGGUAAAUCUCUUGCUUGAAUGCAGCGCGCCCGAACCGAACACACACACGAAACGUCGACUCUAAGCGCUU